rnacentral:sRNA from 1 species
GAAGUCAGGCUCCAUACUCCCCUCCAAGA